rnacentral:rRNA from 1 species
GAAUUCACUAGUGAUCGGGACAUUUAGAGGAAGUAAAAGUCGUAACAAGGUUUCCGCAGGUGAUGUUCCCCCAAGGUUCGCCUACGCGUUUACUCCCGUCGACUAUAAAUCCCCGUUCAGUUGGUCGCCUAGGCGUCCGGCAACGCAGCUACUCUGCACUGGAACCUACUUCCGGAUACCCGGCGUCAGCCUGUCCGGAAUAGCGACCAGCAGCUCCCGCAUCGUCUUCAGCAUGGUGUCACGGAGUUCACAGAUCAAAUGCCUGCGGCCACAGCGUUUUGUGGUAUCGAUAUGACCGACUCCCGUUCGAGAUGACGGCGAAGCCGCGGAACCUGCGGAAGGAUCAUUACC